UAGAACUUUUGUAUGGAUCAAAUGGGUUAUCUAAGAAAAUUGAAUCUGCUCUGAAUGAAUUAUUUGGUUCCUAUGUGAAAACUGUCAGUGCCUCUUCUUCUUCUAUCAAUAAAGGUUCAAAUCAAGCUCCAAUUCAUAUCAAUGUAAAUGAAGAGUACGAAGAGAACCUGUGGGAUAUGCUAGCAGCUCAAUUUGAGCAACAUAUGGAGGAGAUUGAAAAUGAAUCGAGUGAGCCAGAAUUAUCAAGGUAUCUUGCUGAUAAACAUGAGAGGAUAACAAAGGAAUUUGAUAUAUUGGAAUAUUGGAAAGUGAACUCCAAUAAAUAUCCAAUAUUAUCUCUUUUAGCAAAGGACGUGCUAGCUGUUCCUGCUUCUACAGUGCCCUCAGAAUCAGAUUUUAGCACUGGUGGAAGGAUUAUCGAUCUCCUCUGAUGCAGUCUAUCAACUGACACAGUUGAAGCUUUAAUUUGUUCACAAAGUUGGCUUCGAACAUCACAAAGAAAAUUAAGUGAAAGAGAAGCCGCUGAAGAGAUCCAGGCAUAUGAGGAGAUUAGAGAAGAGUUUGUUUCAAAGGACUGCACUGAUAAGCAACACCAUAUUGGUACGUCUCUUUCUUAACUUGCUAGAGGGCAUAUAUAGUAGUGAUUAUUCAGUGAGCAAUAGCACAGCUUGCAUGUCUACCAUUAUUUAACAGCUUGCAAAUUGUCCAAAGUCUGCUUGCAAACUGUUCAAAGUACUGCUUGCAGAUUGUCCAAAGCCUUGUUGGAGCAACAUUAUUUUUAUUGAUUCCAGAAAAAAUAUGCUUUA